UACAGAGGUCCCAAGCGUUGUUCGGAUUCACUGGGCGUAAAGGGCGCGUAGGUGGCCUUCUAAGUUGAACGUGAAAUCCCUGGGCUCAACCCAGGAACUGCGUCCAAGACUGGGAGGCUUGAAUCCGGGAGAGGGAUGCGGAAUUCCAGGUGUAGCGGUGAAAUGCGUAGAUAUCUGGAGGAACACCGGUGGCGAAGGCGGCAUCCUGGACCGGUAUUGACACUGAGGCGCGAAAGCCAGGGGAGCAAACAGG
rnacentral:rRNA from 1 species